rfam:Triticum aestivum genome assembly, contig: Triticum_aestivum_CS42_TGACv1_scaffold_132063_2BL
UGUGUACUCCCUCCGUUCCAAAAUACUUGACUUCCAUUUGUCCAAAAAUGGAUGUACCUAUAUACUAAAACAUGUCUAGAUACAUAUAUAUUUUGACAAAUAGAAGGCAUGUACUGUGCAACGGAGGGAGUAGAAU